UAGGAAAUAAUAUAGAGGAAGUAUAAGGAGUUUUGAUCUCCUUUGUGUAGGUUCGAUUCCUACUUUUCUAA
rnacentral:tRNA from 1 species